rnacentral:rRNA from 1 species
CCAGACUCCUACGGGAGGCAGCAGUGGGGAAUAUUGCACAAUGGGGGGAACCCUGAUGCAGCGACGCCGCGUGAGCGAAGAAGUCAUUCGUGACGUAAAGCCCUAUCAGCAGGGAAGAAAAUGACGGUACCUGACUAAGAAGCCCCGGCUAAAUACGUGCCAGCAGCCGCGGUAAUACGUAUGGAGCAAGCGUUAUCCGGAUUUACUGGGUGUAAAGGGAGCGUAGGCGGCCUGCCAAGUCUGAUGUGAAAUGCCGGGGCUCAACCCCGGGGCUGCAUUGGAAACUGGCAGGCUGGAGUGUCGGAGAGGCAGGCGGAAUUCCUAGUGUAGCGGUGAAAUGCGUAGAUAUUAGGAGGAACACCAGUGGCGAAGGCGGCCUGCUGGACGAUGACUGACGCUGAGGCUCGAAAGCGUGGGGAGCAAACAGGAUUAGAUACCCUGGUAA